rnacentral:tRNA from 1 species
GCGCGUCAGUCUCAUAAUCUGAAGGUCCUGAGUUCGAGCCUCAGAGAGGGCA